rnacentral:rRNA from 2 species
AGACCCGAAACCCGGUGAUCUAGCCAUGGGCAGGUUGAAGGUUGGGUAACACUAACUGGAGGACCGAACCGACUAAUGUUGAAAAAUUAGCGGAUGACCUGUGGCUGGGGGUGAAAGGCCAAUCAAACCGGGAGAUAGCUGGUUCUCCCCGAAAGCUAUUUAGGUAGCGCCUCGUGAAUUCAUCUCCGGGGGUAGAGCACUGUUUCGGCUAGGGGGCCAUCCCGGCUUACCAACCCGAUGCAAACUGCGAAUACCGGAGAAUGUUAUCACGGGAGACACACGGCGGGUGCUAACGUCCGUCGUGAAGAGGGAAACAACCCAGACCGCCAGCUAAGGUCCCAAAGUCAUGGUUAAGUGGGAAACGAUGUGGGAAGGCCCAGACAGCCAGGAUGUUGGCUUAGAAGCAGCCAUCAUUUAAAGAAAGCGUAAUAGCUCACUGGUCGAGUCGGCCUGCGCGGAAGAUGUAACGGGGCUAAACCAUGCACCGAAGCUGCGGCAGCGAACGUAUCACCCAAGACAACUUUACGGAGUUGACGAUUGACGGAGCGAAGCGACGUCAAAGCGUUCAUUAAAGUCGA